rnacentral:rRNA from 1 species
UACGGAGGAUCCAAGCGUUAUCCGGAUUUAUUGGGUUUAAAGGGUGCGUAGGCGGUUUUUUAAGUUAGAGGUGAAAUCCUGUGGCUCAACCACGGGCUUGCCUCUGAUACUGGGAAGCUAGCGAAUAGAUGCUGUAGGCGGAAUGUGUGGUGUAGCGGUGAAAUGCUUAGAUAUCACACAGAACACCGAUUGCGAAGGCAGCUUACAAAUCUAUUUCGGACGCUGAGGCACGAAAGCGUGGGGAUCAAACAGG